AAGACUUAUCAAAAGUCAGUGAACCGAACUCUUUCAAAUUCGUCAAACCUUCAUUUCAGCUCAGUAGUUUUCCCAGAGACAUAGGUCAAUUGACUACACUAUUAGAGAAAGACAAACUAUACUUCAAACAUUCCUUUAAUUCCUAAUGUCAGUUUGUUGUACCAUUCUCGUAGAAUGAGAAUCAAGUUUGUCCCAAUUCAAGAGAACUGUCGGUGGAAAUAAAUCAUGAAGCAUGAACAUACACCGGCAGAAUCAGGAUUUUCAAUUACCUACCCUUUCACGUGAACUAUAAAUCAGCUAAAUUCAUCGAAUCGAUGUGAUGCAUGAUUCGUAAUCAGCCAACCUUGUUAAGUUAUGAACAUUACAUUCCUCAAGCCUAUCUCAUUUUGAUAGAGAGAUAAAUUCUUCCGGUGCUUUGCGAUCUAUCACUUACAUUUAGCGUAAAAAUUCAAUUAAGUUGCGAAUCUUUCUAAUUCCUCAAUAUCAGUGAAUUAGAUUCACAGUUAGAAUGUUAUCCUUAUGUAACUCUGACGAAAUGUCUUCAGCUUUUCACCUUUGUUAUCAGUAUUCAGUUUGGACCUAUGUAAAGUUGAAUGGCUUGUUAAGAGUAAUGAGUUGUGUUCCUUUAAAGGACUAUUAGUUAUUCAUGUUGACCUUCAGAGCAGUAACCUUAUGUUUACCAUCAAGAAAUUCUUCAAUCUUCUAGUUUCAUUACUGAUGACCGGUUCAUAAUCACAUAAGUCUAAUUAAUUAUGUAGGGUCAUGAGUAAUUUUAGUUCAAGUUCUCACGUGUCUUGUUAAUAUGUUAAUCAACAAGCAACCUAGAGUUAGUCAACUCAAUUAGUAGUAGCAUCACCAUCGGUAAAUCGAGACAAUUGUGUUUUACUUUCCCUUAGCGACCAGUCUAUUUUAGACAACUCGUUAUCGCAAAAUUGCAUCAGAGAAUUCUAUCCAAAUCUUACCUUAAUUAAGUUAGGGGACUCAUCAUAAGAAGUAACCUCAAUGAACACUGAUGGAAUGAGAAAAUCGUAAGCGCUAUGCAACAAUGAGGAGACUUUGAGUAUGUAAUAAUUGUAAUAGAUAAGGAGUGAAGUGGUGCAGAUAUGUUAGAUUUUGGUGAAGUAUUUAUACAGUGGUGCAUCGGAAGUCACUAUUGAUGCGAGUAUUACUUUGAAACGUUUACGGUACAAGAAGUAAUAACAAUAUGAGUAACGCCGGAUAAGAUGAGACAAUGUGUGACAUUGCCCGGGAAUUGUAGACCGAGGUUGGAAUGACGCAGUCAGAAGAUAAUGGUAAAAAGUUGAUAUCAGAGUGCGCAGCAAGUAAUGGUGGAGAAUGCAGUCAGCAGGUUGGUCUUUAGGCCAACAACCAUUUAGGAAGAAGAAAGUUUUAUUCCAAGGAAUUGGAUGUGGAAGACGGUAAGAUAAUUAAAAGAN
rnacentral:lncRNA from 1 species